GACGAACGCUGGCGGCGUGCCUAAUACGUGCAAGUCGAGCGCUGAAGCUUUGUACUUUUACCAACUGGAUGAGCAGCUAACGGGUGAGUAACGCGUGGAUAAUCUUCCUCUUAUCCGUGGACAACAUCUGGAAACGAAUGCUACUACCACAUCAUAACUUUAAACACAAGUUUUAAGUUUUAAAGAUGCAUUUGCCUCACUCAAAGAUGAUCCCGCGUUGUAUUAGCUAGUUGGGGAAGUAAAGGCGCACCCAGGGGAUGGUACAUAGCCUACCUGAGAGGGGGAUCGGCCACAUUGGGAAUGAGACACGGCCCAAAACCCCUCGGGAGGGAGCAGGAGGGGAACUUUGGCAAUGGGGGAAAAGCUUACCGAGCAACGCCGCGGGAGUGAAGAAGGGUUUCGGAUCGUAAAACUCUGUUUGUAGGGAAAGAAGAUGGUGAGAGUGGAAAGCUCAUGAAGUGACGGUAACUAAACAGAAAGCAACGGCUAACUACGUG
rnacentral:rRNA from 1 species